UACGUGUUAAUGUAAGAGCAUAAAAGAUUUUGAUUCUUUAAGUUUUGGUGGGAAUCCAUUACAUGUAA
rnacentral:tRNA from 1 species